rnacentral:rRNA from 1 species
AAUGGGCGCAAGCCUGAUCCAGCCAUGCCGCGUGAGUGAUGAAGGCCCUAGGGUCGUAAAGCUCUUUCGCCAGGGAUGAUAAUGACAGUACCUGGUAAAGAAACCCCGGCUAACUCCGUGCCAGCAGCCGCGGUAAUACGGAGGGGGUUAGCGUUGUUCGGAAUUACUGGGCGUAAAGCGCACGUAGGCGGAUCGGAAAGUUGGGGGUGAAAUCCCGGGGCUCAACCCCGGAACUGCCUCCAAAACUAUCGGUCUAGAGUUCGAGAGAGGUGAGUGGAAUUCCGAGUGUAGAGGUGAAAUUCGUAGAUAUUCGGAGGAACACCAGUGGCGAAGGCGGCUCACUGGCUCGAUACUGACGCUGAGGUGCGAAAGUGUGGGGAGCAGACAGGAUU